UUUAUAUUCUGUUACACCUAUUCUUUGGCUUAUCAUUUGGCUUAAUUCAUGUUCUGUUUAAUAUCUUUCCUUUUUGGACAUAUUUUUAAUGGACUUUUUAAUAUUAAAUUUAGGCUUUUUACCAACGAGAACUUUUCUAUCUCAUGCUUUCUUCUCUCAUUCAUCACCGAACCAAAGCAUACAAAUCCUGGCAUCUUGGAAAGGCACAAUUUUAU
rnacentral:ribozyme from 1 species